rnacentral:lncRNA from 1 species
GGUGCCGGGAGCGGGGCGAGGAGGAGGGUGGGUAUGAGGCGGUAGCGGACCGCGGAGUCGAGACCUACCCGAACGACGCGGGCGAGCGGGGCUUUGGACGCCGGUGGAGACGCAGGCGAGGGCUGCUGUAAAAUAUUACAGGCAUACUUUGGAGAUGUUAUGGGUUUGGUUCCACAUCACUGCAAUAAAAUGGAGCCUCGCUCUGUCGCCAAGACUGGAGUUCAGCGGCACGAUCUCGGCUCACUGCAAGCUCCACCUCCGAGGUUCACGCCAUUCUCCUGCCUCAGCCUCCCAAGUAGCUGGGACUACAGACUCCAGCGGGAGGAAGAAGAGGCCUUUGCCAGCAGUCAGAGCAGCCAAGGGGCCCAAUCCCUCACAUUCUCCAAGUUUGAAGGAAAGAAAACCAACAAGAAGACCCGCAAGGUUACCACAGUGAAGAAAUCUUCAGUACGUCUUCCAGGGUCGGAUCAAAGAAGGGCUGGAGUGCAAUGGCGCGAUCUCGGCUCACUGCAACCUCCACCUAUUGGGUUCAAGUGAUUCUCCUGCCUCAGCCUCCCAAUAGCUGGGAUUACAGAUAUUGAAAUGGAUUCCAGGCGUGUGCCUCGAGACAAGCUGGCCUGCAUCACCAAGUGCAGCAAGCACAUCUUCGAUGCCAUCAAGAUCACCUAGAACGAGCUGGCGUCAGCAGAUGACUUCCUCCCCACCCUCAUCUACAUUGUUUUGAAGGGCAACCCCCAUGCCUUCAGUCUAAUAUCCAGUAUAUCACGUGCUUCUGCAAUCCAAGCCGACUGAUGACUGGAGAGGAUGGCUACUAUUUCACCAAUCUGAGACGGGGGCAGUCUCACUACAUGGCCCAGAGGCUGGGCACUCACUGCAGCUGGCUAAUGAUGACCAUGUGGACAUGCUUUCGGGCCUUCAGGAUCUUCUCCAGCCAGUGGAUGUCGAUUCUCAGCAGGCAUGGCCGUGGGUGCACAGAACAGAGAAAGGAUGGCCUGGACCACACACAUCACUGUGUGCAGAUGCUUUCCUAGACACUGCAGCCAAGGACACAGAGGCUCAGAGAGAAUAACCUCCAUCUCCUGGGUCCCAGCGAUUCUCCUGCCUCAGCCUCUUCCUAUUUCACAAGUAGGGAAACUGAAGCCCAGCAAGCCCUACAUGAAGAGGCCUCUUUGGUGAGUGGCAGCUCAACCUCUGCUAAAUGCCUCCAGUGAUGGGGAGUUCACUACCUU